UACGUAGGGUGCGAGCGUCGUCCGGAAUUACUGGGCGUAAAGAGCUCGUAGGUGGUUUGUCGCGUUGUUCGUGAAAACCGGGGGCUUAACCCUCGGCGUGCGGGCGAUACGGGCAGACUUGAGUACUGCAGGGGAGACUGGAAUUCCUGGUGUAGCGGUGGAAUGCGCAGAUAUCAGGAGGAACACCGGUGGCGAAGGCGGGUCUCUGGGCAGUAACUGACGCUGAGGAGCGAAAGCGUGGGGAGCGAACAGG
rnacentral:rRNA from 1 species